AGUGGGGAAUAUUGCACAAUGGGGGAAACCCUGAUGCAGCAACGCCGCGUGGAGGAUGACACAUUUCGGUGCGUAAACUCCUUUUAUAUGAGAAGAUAAUGACGGUAUCAUAUGAAUAAGCUCCGGCUAACUCCGUGCCAGCAGCCGCGGUAAUACGGGGGGAGCAAGCGUUACUCGGAAUCACUGGGCGUAAAGCGCAUGUAGGCUGGUAAUUAAGUUGGAAGUGAAAUCCUAUGGCUUAACCAUAGAACUGCUUCCAAAACUGAUUACCUAGAAUAUGGGAGAGGUAGAUGGAAUUUCUGGUGUAGGGGUAAAAUCCGUAGAGAUCAGAAGGAAUACCGAUUGCGAAGGCGAUCUACUGGAACAUUAUUGACGCUGAGAUGCGAAAGCGUGGGGAGCAAACAGGAUUAGAUACCCUGGUAGUCCACGCCCUAAACGAUGUACACUAGUUGUUGC
rnacentral:rRNA from 1 species